rnacentral:rRNA from 1 species
GGGCCCGCACAAGCGGUGGAGCAUGUGGUUUAAUUCGAUGAUACGCGAGGAACCUUACCAGGGCUUAAAUGUAGUCUGACAGCUUUAGAGAUAGAGUUUUCUUCGGACAGAUUACAAGGUGCUGCAUGGUUGUCGUCAGCUCGUGCCGUGAGGUGUCAGGUUAAGUCCUAUAACGAGCGCAACCCCUGUCGUUAGUUGCCAGCAUGUCAUGAUGGGGACUCUAACGAGACUGCCGGUGCAAACCGCGAGGAAGGUGGGGAUGACGUCAAGUCAGCAUGCCCCUUAUGUCCUGGGCUACACACGUGCUACAAUGGCUAAGACAAAGAGUCGCGAGUUCGUGAGAACCAGCU